ACCGCUCAGUUGCUAGAGCACGAGGCUCUUAAUUUCAGGGCUGUGGGUUCAAGCCCCACAAUGGGCA